ACAACUGACUUCCCCCUCCACCCCCAAAAAACAGGUAAAUUUUGCUGGGUCGGCAUAGUUGUAAAGUCCAUCUGUAUCACAUUUUUUGGAGUCUCUCCCAAACCUCCGGAGGGCAGAGGGGCUAAAGGUUAUAUUACCAGUUGCCAAUACUGUUGUCAUGCCAAUGUAGUGAAGCCUGUAGGAGUGCCCACACUCCUGGUGGCAUGCCUAGAAGAGACAUGGAACUUCUAUGCCCCUUGGGUCUUCGCCCUAUGCAUCUUUCAAGAAACCAGUGGGAGCUGCUCCAGCAGAUCAAAUCCAUUGAAGUACAAGCUGCAAUGAGUCAUGUGGCAAGUACAGAUUCCUAGACUCAGGAGGCGAGGUCCACCUCAGGCUCCUCCCAAACAAGGAAGAUCUGCUCCACCACUUCCUGCUCCAGGGCCACUUGUGAGAGCUAUCUGGGAGCGACUCUCCUUCCCUGAAAGUCUGAGACCAAGACUUGAACUUAGUACCUGAAGAUUUUGCUCACUGGCUGGCACUUUACAAACUGAGCCCUGCCUCCAACCCCAAAAUUUGUACUUUCAAAAAAAAAA